UACAGCGCUUGGCACGUAGUAAGUGCUUAACGAAUGUCAUUCUUGUUACUGUUGUCCAGUAGGAGGACACGCCACUCUAAGAUGUACGUGCUCCCACCCCUUCUUCCUGAGGCCCAGUAGGACCAGAUCCGCCCCAGUCAAAGCCCCAAGUGGACUGAGCUGACUUUGGAUGUUCUGCCCCUGAGUUUCAUAGAGGGAGCUGCGUCUUCCACAUCAUUCACCCAGGAACGGGGCAGGUGUUUGGGAUGUCCCUCCCCCCAGGAGCCACCGCAGCUGCAGGAGCCCAAGGCCUUUGGACACUGUCAAAGGGCGUCGCCUCCAGAAGGUUCACUGAGGGUUGCGGACGAGGCCCGGAACGAG